rnacentral:lncRNA from 1 species
ACAAAUGGUGUCUCUGACACAACAUUAAUUUCUACAUUUAGCCAUAAUAGUAAAUACAUCAACAUAAUGUAGCGCCAAAUGUAGUUCUCGGAGUAUGAAAAGAUACCAAUAGCUAGUCAUAAUAAGAAUUUCGCUGAGGGUGUUGUUUUCUGUGGCACGAACAUUGUAUACUAAUAUAUUUGCGCAAAAUUAGUUUCCAAAAUUAUCUUCUGUAAAGGACUCCGACGAGGAAGGGGCGAUGAAGAUGGCGCGCCGUCGCCUCGCUUCAGUUCUUGUAGUCGUCGCUAGGUGGUCUAUGAAUUCAAAUAUAAUUUUUUAUUAUUUCUGGUGGUCGUUGUACUGAUGUAAUUGAAGAUAAAUAGAUCAAAAGUUUUCUCGCAAAAGAAAACAAAAUCCGUCCACAUAAUGUAGCACCAAUUUAAUUCUUGACAUGCAUGAAGAUAUUCUCGCAAGAAGAAAUCAUGUAGAAAUAUAUUACUCCAUCCGAUCCUAAUUAAUUAUAUACUUAGUACAACUUUAGUAUAAAAUUGUACUAAGUGUGCGUCGCAUUAAUUUGGACCGGAGUGAAUACUAAUUUAAUUUUUUUUAGAAUAUAAGAGAGUACUAAUAACUAGUCAUACAUAUAAAGAGAUAAACACCACAAAUUGAAACUUAAAAAAAGCAUAAAUUAAAGCAGGAGGGGUAUAUAUAAGGGAGCCCAGUCGAUCGACUCAACACAACACCACUCGAUCAGUUUAAAAAAUAAAGCACCACUGGAUCGAGACUCAACACAACAGCGGCCGGUAACCGCCACCCGCAUCGGCAUCGCGAUGGACAGCACCGUGGACGCAAUGGCAGCGGCCUACGACGCGCUGGUGGACGCCGCGGCAGCCCAUGUCCGCGAGCCCGGCCGCGCCGCCGCGGUGGAGGACCUCAAGCGCCGCCUCGACGCCUUCCACGAGUGCUGCGACCGCGCGGAGGACCUCGUCCACAUGGCCGCCGCGCGCCUCGGGCCCGCCGACGCCCGUGCCGCCGGCGAUCGCCUUGACGCGCUCGGCCGCACCCUGCACGCCGUCGGUGCCCCCCGUGAGGAGAAGGGGAAGGCGGUUCAGGAAGGUGAUGGCAAGGAUCCCGCGGCGCCCACUUCGCCGGUGGUGCCGGGAGCCGACGACAAGUAGCUCUGUCGUUCGGGCGGUCGAUCCAUCCAUCUCGCCUGUUGUUGUUUGUUGGGUGUGAUGUUGAGUAAUUAAUCCUCUAGGUUAUUACUUUAUUACUGCCAAAAAUUGAUAAUCGGGCGAGUCAUCUAUCUAUCUAUCUAGAUCAUGGAUAAAAAUGGAGAAAGGAUUGGAGGACCGAAUUAGCAUACUCCUAUGUUGUAGAUUCAUCGCAUUUUCUUUUUCUGAUUUUUUUUACCUUGAUGUUAUGGUCAGUGGAAAGAGAAGAACACCCGAGGGUAAUGUGAAGAAAUGGCGUCAGCACAAUUUGGUCUUCUAAAAUCAGGUGUACGAGAAUUCGGUCGUUAUUAGUUGAAAAUAAUGUGACAUCUAGGAUAACGAUGUAGGAGACCGUUGCCGCGGCGCCUAGGUAUCUAGACCUCUCAACACUUACACGUUCGUAGCAUCCCAGGUCGGCGCACACGCACACACAUGCCGAGCCCACCGGGAUGUGGACACAACCUAAGUCUAAGCCCACUGAGCCCGCCGCGCUUUUAGUGCUCAAUAGAUAUAUGUGAUAAUAUGUAGGUUACGAUACAUUAACAGAGCUACUUAUAGUUGUUUUCACUAGAACAACCAAUGGGUUGAGUAUGUGACCAUGAACCAGACAGUUAAUACAUAUACAUAGGCAAUCGAGCAUCCCUACCAGUUCCCAAAUUAUGUUGUUUAAUGAAGAAAGGUACGACCCGACAAACUUUAAUAACAUCUUUCCACUAGUUAGCGCAAACCCAUUACUGGCAUUUCCAUCUAUUACUUCCUCAAUAUACCAAAACAUACCCAAAUGACUUCUAGCUUUGGGAAAUUUGGUUGGCGUAGCACCAAAGUUGCAUAAUGUAGCACCAAAGUUGGUUUCCAAAAAGCUUGUCGAAACAUACCGAAUUGGGUCUAGCUUUCAAAAAGUUGGUUGGUGUAACACCAAAGUUGCAUCAUAUAGCACCAAAUUUUGUUUUGAAAAAGUUUGUCUAAACAAAAUGGGGUCCAACUUUCGAAAGGUUGGUUGAUUUAGCGCAAAACUUGGUCCAUGUAGCACCAAAGUUGGUUUUGAAAAAGUUUAUCGAAAUAUACUCGGAUGGGGUCCAGCUUUCGGAAAUUUGGUUGAUCUAGCACCAGAGUUACAUCAUUUAGCAACAAAGUUGGUUUGAGAAAGUUUGCCGAAACAUACCCAAAUGUGGUACAACUUUCAGAAACUCGAUUGAUGUAGCACCAAAGUAACAUCAUGUAGCACCAAAGUUGGUUUUGAAAAGUUGCAUCAUGUAGCACCAAAGUUGGUUUUGAAAAGGUUUAUCACUUUUUCAAAACCAACUUUGGUGCUACAUGAUGCAACUUUGCUACAUAGCCAAAUGUGAUCCAGCUUUCAGGAAGUUGGUUGAUGUAGCACCAAAGUUGGUUUUGAAAAAGUUUGUCGACUUCCUCAAAAAUGGGCCACAAACUAUUACAAAACCAACUUUGAUGCUACAUGAUGCAACUUUGGUGCUACAUCGACCAACUUCUUAAAAGCUGGACCACAUUUGGGUAUGUUUCGACAAACUUUUUGAAAACCAACUUUGGUGCUACGUGAUGUAACUUUGGCGCUAUAUCAACAAACGUUCUGAAUGAUGGACCCCAUUUGGCUAUGUUUCGACAGAAAAUUUCAAAACCAACUUUGGUACUGCAUGACCCAAUUUUGGUUAUAUAUCAACUAACCUUCCGUAAGCUGGACCCCGUUUGGGUUUGUUUCGACAAACUUUUUCAAAACCAUCUUUGGUGGUACAUGAUGUUUUGAUGCUACAUGAACCAACUUUCUAAAAGCUAUACCCCAUUUAUGUUCCAACAAAAUUUUGAAAAAACUUUGGUGCUACAUGCUACAACUUUGGUGCUACAACAACCAACUUUCCAAAAGCCAGAUCCUAUUUAGGUAUGUUUCUGAAUUUUUUUUGAAAACCAACUUUGAUGCUACAUCAUGCAAAUUUGGCUGCAUGAUGCACCUUUCCGAAAGAUAGAACCCGUUUGGAUAUAUUUCAACUAACUUUUUCAAAAUUAACUUUGGUGGUACAACAACCAGCUUUAGUAUUACUGAGUGAAGCUGCCUACUAGUGAUGCUCAAUUGCAUACCAUUGCCCAUUAGUUGUCCAUGCUACUGUGAAAGUUAGCCACCUCAAAAAAAGGUCUACACAUCACUAUGGGGUUGCUUACCCAAUGAUGCUCAAUUGCUUACAACAUUGUAAAAGUUGCAUACCAUGGUUCGUAACUUUUGUACAUGGGAAACUAAGUUGCAUACGGCGCAGAAAACUAUUGUAGGUCAAACUUUCGAUGAUGUUAAGAGUGCUCAUUAGUCAUGAUAGAAAACUUAGGGUACAUGUUAGUCAACUUGGUAGUCAUGGUGGACAACUUACGGGAACUUUAUGCCAAGUGAUAUCACGAAAGGAGAGCCUACUAAGUUGGUUCUCACUGCACUAAACUUGAUUCUCAUAGUACAAAUGUUGGCUCCCAUAGCGCAAAACUUGGUACUUCUACCUACUCGUGGAUGUAUAGUUUUUGUUGAUGGCCUCCUACUGCAACUACCCAGCCAGGGAUAUGCGAAACUUCGUCUACUGCCCCGACCAACUGUAUAGUAGUCGAUGUGCAAAUCCGAUUGUUGUUUGUGCCAACUUCCCGAACAUGGGUGUACAACAUCAUAGAGCGAGGGUAUGAAAAAGGAGAAGAUGCUUACCUCUGUGCAAGACUCAAGUGCGGUGGCUCUUCGAAUAGGGGCGGACCCUGCGUCUCCUGGCUUACCGCACUUGCGCAACUCGCCUUCACGACCUGAUGGAGAUGCAUGAGGUCGCACGAAUCCAACAACGUCAUCGCUCCAGAUCCAAGAAAAAAAGGAAGGAGGAGGUGGUGGAGUUGCAUGUCCGAUUUGAUCACCACACACCUCUAGUCCACCGCCACCCCCUUCAACCCCAGGGAUUGGCAUCGACAUAUUUCUCCCCUUCAUUGACUUCUACUUGACCUACAUGCUCGGCCUCAAAUGCAAUGAGAAAGGGGAAAAGGUAGGAACGAGGGAGAAGGGGAUAUGGUGAGGAACGAACAGAGAAAAGGCAGAUGUGUUUUUCUGCGAGAGAGACAACAAAAGGGUGGAGGAUAUGUGCUCGUGCGCCGUGUAGCAUGUGCACUUGCCA